UACGUAGGGUGCGAGCGUUAAUCGGAAUUACUGGGCGUAAAGCGUGCGCAGGCGGUUCGUUGUGUCGGUGGUGAAAUCCCCGGGCUUAACCUGGGAAUGGCCAUGGAAACUGGCGAACUGGAGUGCGGCAGAGGGGGGUGGAAUUCCGCGUGUAGCAGUGAAAUGCGUAGAGAUGCGGAGGAACACCGAUGGCGAAGGCAGCCCCCUGGGCUAGCACUGACGCUGAGGCGCGAAAGCGUGGGGAGCAAACGGG
rnacentral:rRNA from 1 species